AUUGCCCUCACGCAGACAUGACAGAUGAGAAAUAAAAGAAUCCGGUGACUUCAGAGACUGACUUAGGACCUCUGCAGCUGCCAUGUUCCCUCAGCAUCUUCCUUCAGACUGAUUGAGAUCUGUUUUCUCUGCAGCAUCAUCUAAAAAGAACACUGGCAGGACCCUUUUAAGAACCCUACAUGUUUCCGAAUCAUCCCUGAAUCCCAGGGAUUGCCUAUCAAUUUGGAGUGUUGCAAGGACAGUAUUUCUUGAUGAGUGGCUGCUGUGAAAUCAGAGAAUCCCCCUCCUUGCAUCUUCUGCCUGCCAAGUGGACAUCUCAGUUCGUGGUUGUCUUUCUGUAUGAAGUAUAUUGUUUCUUGGGACUUGUUAAUCAAAUGGGCCUGGUUUAACCUCUCUAAGAGUUUCAAAGAAAGUCACUUCUGUCUCUCAUAGUCUCUAACCAGAUCAAGGGUGAUAAUACUGUAAAUGUAUAGAACUUCUAGAUAUAAAAUUAUAAUUACCAUCAUGAUUACAAAUACCAACAAUAAUAAGAAGAAUUAAUUUCAGUAACUGUCCUGCCUCAUCCCUCUUACCCCAGACUCCAGAGUUUCAGGCUAUUUCUUCUUCACUGCCCUCUACCAUCUGGAAGCCUCCGACACUUUACCUCCCAGGGCUGGAACUCCCCCCACCCCGCCUUAUGAAAAUAGACUUUGUCCAUUUCUUAUUAUGACCAGGCUCUGUUUUUGGUGUGGGAGAAAUAGGUAGUUAUGAGUUGAUCAGGUAAGCCAACACACUCAGUUGUUCAGGUUGUUUGUGCUGCCAUCCUUGGGUCCUGAAGGAUUAAGUGAAAAGCAACCUAUUUCCAGAAGGCUUCCAGGAGAUAACUCUACUUUCUGGCAGUGAUGAUAGCUGGUGCCACAGCUCCUUUUGGCUGGGAGGGACCCAUGUAGACCAUUGCCUCCUCACUCUCCAUCUGCAGUCUCGGGAGUAGGGUUCCCAGGGCAUGGUAAAAGAUAACCAAUAACUCUUCCCAGCUUCCAAUCUCCCACUCUUUUGCCAACAUGAAAAGAUUAUACUCAUCCCACACACCUGAAGAUGGGUGAGUUCAUAUGAUUUAUUUGAGCCAAUUAAAUGUAUACAAAAAUUAUGUUGUCAUGUAACACGGAAUUUUGAAGAGGAAGGAAUGCUCUGCAAGAUUCUUUUCCCCUCUGCCCUGGUUGAUAUUCAGUGAUAUUUCAGAUGGAGCUACUGCUCUUCCUGGCUCCUAGGAUACAGAGUUGAGUUCAGGGCCUUUCUGCUGUGAUUAAAGCCACUGAGAUUUGGGAGUUGUGUGUUACUACGAUUACUCCCCAGUUUUCAAAACUGCUCAUCUAAGAAGGAACAUGACUUCCCCAAGGUCAACUAGUUUGAAACAAAGUACUCUAGAAUCUUGCAAUCAGUUUUUGUGAUUUUCUCACUCAGUUCUUCUUCCAGACUUAAAUUCUAACCUUUCCUUGAAAACUCAGCUCAUCUAGCUUGUCCUUUUGGAACCAUCCUACGUUCAGCCUUUCUCAAGGCCAAUGCCAUUUUAGAAGGGCCUUCCUCUAAUGCUACUAAAUUUGCUCCCUUCAAGCCUAAUUUUAACACGCCAUAGAAGUGUUUGAAGAGUGUCUCAUUCCAACAUGAGUGGAGGACCCAAAUACUAUUUUUAAACUGUGAAUUUAGGACAAUUUACUUGAGAGAUGAAAGGAAAACUGGCAGUGCUGAAGUCAUAUGUUAAAAGUACAACUGGCGAGAAAGCUCAGGUAGUCCUCUGCCAAGCCCAUUUAUUUUCAGAUCAGAUAGCUUGCUAUUCCAAUUAUGCAUAUUUCAUUGAAAUUUAUUCCAGUGAAUAGAAAGAUAUGCAUAAUUCUCUUCAAAUACUAAGGAAUCUAGAAGAGAAUGAAUCAAUCAUUUCCUCAUAGUGGGGGAGGAAAUUUAUGUUGCAUUUAUUAAAAUGUUUACUCAUAUAUUUCUGGUUAUGUUUGUUGAGAAGAUGCUGUUUCUUGGCAUUUUAAAACAAAAUUUCCUUAUUAUUAAUCCUUAAUGUGACACUGUCAUCAGCAUCCCAACUUUCUAAAAUUUAUUAUUAUUAUUAUUAUUAUUAUCAUAUAUUGUUAUCUUUUGAGGGGGUUAAACUUGCAUUUUAGCAGUCCCCUUAUUACAUGUAAGCAUGUAUAAAGUCAUAAACUUAUAAAGCUUUUAUCCUCCUUACUCCCCGUCCUCACUGACUGCAGACAAUAGCCUCUGAUCUUGUAGCUAGGAUGCUGACUGACUAAGAGGCAGCUUGGCAUUGCUGCAAGUGGUAUAGACUAGGCCAAUAAACUGAUCAUGGUUUGAAAAUUAUUGGCUCUGUGACUUUGAGUAACUUUUUCUGAGAGUUUUGUUUGUUUGUUGUUGUUGUUGUUGCUGUUGUUUUAAGCUGGAAAAUGGUACAAUGAAUAUCUACCUUGCAGACCUUCAUGAGGAAAUGCAUGUAAAAUGCUUGACAAAUUAUAGAUGACCAAUGGUUGGAAGCAAUUAAAAUUUCAGCUCCAGAUUUGAAUCUUCUCUCUGCUCUACUGCAAUCAUCAGGCCUGGCUGGGAGACUAUUGGCUGCGUUGCAGAACAUUCCCACUUGUCAGCUACUCUUUCAUUUCCCUCAUAUAGCAAGGAUGCAUGACACCAAGGUCAAGAAGAGAUAACACCUGGCUGGAGUCAUGUUUCCCUGACACAGUGAUGCUUCUAUAUACACCUGCACAUGUGAAUCACCUGGGAUCAGCAAUACCCAAACAACUCUCCCAGUCUUACUCUUCUUUUCCUAAUUUUGUCCUCUUCAUAUUUUAGACACAUAGAUGACAUUUUUACCAUCCUUGCAUUGCAUUAUAUUUCUCUUAACUCAACAUCAGCAUACCUACUCAUACACUGUAUGUUAUCAUUUCUCCUGCUUGGCCCUUCUAAGAUAUCCACAUAGACUCUCCAGAGUCAAAUUUAUUUUUUCUAGUCUCAUCAGCAGCCCUAAGCUCUUACCUGGUGUUUACCUACUGAAGUCAAGUUAACUUCACAUGCAUUCUUUUUGUUUUUAACUAACUCUUCCCAGAAGCCCUUGUACACUAUAUCUCACCAUAGAGCCAUAUCUAGUCCAUCCUGUAUUUGUUUGCUUAUUGCUAUCAGUAGCAGUGCUGAUACUGAGAAAUAUGAAAUGUGGGCUAAAAGUCACCGGC